rnacentral:rRNA from 1 species
GGGGGGGGGGGGGGGGGGGGGGGGGGGGGGGGGGGCGAGCGGGGGGGGGCGGGUUGGGGGGGGUGGUCGGGGGGCGGACGGGGGCGUAAGGCGGGGGUAACCUGCCCUUGGCGUGGGGAGAACUUCAGGAAACGGGGGCUAAUACCGGGUAGGAGCUCCUGCUGCAUGGUGGGGGUUGGAAAGUUUCGGCGGUUGGGGAUGGACUCGCGGCUUCUCAGCUUGUUGGUGGGGUAGUGGCUUACCAAGGCUUUGACGGGUAGCCGGCCUGAGAGGGUGACCGGCGACAUUGGGACUGAGAUACGGCCCAGACUCCUACGGGAGGCAGCAGUGGGGAAUAUUGCACAAUGGGCGGAAGCCUGAUGCAGCAACGCCGCGUGCGGGAUGACGGCCUUCGGGUUGUAAACCGCUUUUGCCUGUGACGAAGCGUGAGUGACGGUAAUGGGUAAAGAAGCACCGGCUAACUACGUG